GGAGGGGAUCGGGGGGGGCCGCUCCCGGAGUGGGCAGAGAGUCCCGCUGCUCCCCCCAGCACACGAGGCCGGGCAGCACGGAGGGUAGGCAGGUUAUGGAUGUCACUUACAGAGAGACCAAGGCCAGCACCCAACUCCUGCCCAUCUGACAACGAGCUGCGACGGAAUUCAGAUGCUAAUUAGGAGCCGAGCUCCUCAAUGGGUCUUUAUUCGCACAGCUCCGGCUCCCUGCAGGCCGGCCAAUGGAGGAAGCUCGGCAGCGGCACGGAGAAGCGCCCCUUUCCCUCCUUCCCUCACCAUGAUGCUGUUAUCGGCUCAUCUCGGUUUUACUUGUUGACUUUUGAAGGCAAGAAAAAGGGAAGGAAGUCACACCGGAGCUGUGCCAUGGGAAUAAUCACCGUCGGGACCCACUUGAUGAGCAGGGACUGCAGGGGCCGUAGCAACGUGAAGAGAGGGGAGGACACAGGGUUGGUGCAGGGAUGCAGAGAUGGGCUGCAGGGAGGUGUGGAUGUUCCUGUGGGCGGGUAAAUACUGCCUGCAGAGAAAGAACGUCCCUAGGUUACAUACCGUGGUAAAACCCAAGCAAAACCAAAGCUGUUUGUCAUUUUGAGUAUUAUCAGUCAAGAUAGGGAAGCUGGGAAAAUCCACAUGUAAAGGUUAAAAGUUGCCUAAUCUUCACCAGUUUUAUACACCCCAGAAAAUAACUCUUCUCAGGCAGCACAAAGGAUUAGUUUUUCCUGGUUAGGACAGAGCCAUAGUACACACGAGGUAGGUGGGACCUAAUACAGCCUCUGAAGGAGAGUGUGGACGCGUGCUGCAGUGGAUUAGGGAAGAUCAUGGCUUGCUUCUGCCAGGUCUACAACCAACAGCAAGAGGUGGGUCAGAAAAGCAAAAGCAGCUCCAGCACUCAGGAAGAUGCACAGAGCGCUGCUGGUCUGUCCAUCAGCUGUAUCACUUGGGCACUGCAUCACUCGACAGGAGAAAACAGAGCAACCCCACACAGCCAGAGCAGUGUUACUGCAUGAGACAGGAGGCGGGGAUCACCAGGUCGGCAAACAGGAAAACAGUGAACUCUGCUGGUCACUGCUUCUGGGCUAAGACAGGCUUCAUCUCAUCACUCCACAUCACGGUCAGAUCUAUGGCUCAUUGGCUGCAGUGGGCUCCUCAUGCUGCCCUGCCUCAGUGCCUGGCAGCCCUCCAUGCCCGUGUCCCUGGAAGCUGCUCCUUGUCUGUCAUGAUGCUCCCAGGAAUAACGAGCUUGGCAAGGGCUGUGCGCUAGAACUGCACUGUUAUCUGUUCUGCUACACAGAUAACGCAGCACACUCCCCCCCCACCAGACACAGGCAUUCCCACUGUAAAGUAUUUGCAGAUUUACAGCUCAUUCUGCUUCUGGGAGGGAAUAAAGAAAUGCAGACCAGGCUAAUUGCAGUGGAUGCACAUGGACGCUUGCCCACCUCCCUCCUGGCAGGUGCAAUGCCCGAAGUGCCAAAGAGCUGCAAAUGUCCUGCCUGAGCCCAGACCCGGCCUUUAUAGCUCACCCAGAAGCAGCCUUCUUAGCUCACCCAGCACAGCCAGGUGGUUCUGGUUCAGAGCUGACCCAUGUCCACCACACUCAGUCAGGCAAAGCAUGCAGAUAGAUAAGGUGAGCAGCGUAAGGACUCCUUGCUGUAGCUGCAUUCCCUGAGGAUAUGACCACACAGCCAGUUCUUCCACGCUGCCAGAGAUGAAGGAUGCUCUGAGCAUAAGCUGUGAAUAACUCAGUGGUAUAAAGGAAAGGGUGAUAGAUUCAAACAGGACAGCAGCUUCAGAGACAAGGAAGGACUCAGUAUCUGCCUCUAUCUUCAGCAAAGUGUAGCAGCUUCUCACACUGGUUUCCAAACAGCCUUGACUCUUAGCAAACUUGAUAAGGAAAAUAGAAACAUGAGCUUCUGCCCAGCCUCUGCUGCAGAGCACUAUAUUCAGUGUAAUGAAUAAGGACAGAAGGGGUGAAAAGGAAGAAAGGAAAGGUGAAGUGUAACCAAAAAGCUUCUGGAUUUACUGAAAGCAGAAGGGAGCUGGAGGCUGGAUUAGCAAAGCAGUAAAAUGAAAAAAAAAUAGCAGAUAAUGAAUGUGGCCACGUUAUCUAAUAUGGUAGAACACACAGCAUGCAUAUUUAAUAGCAUUGUUUAGCUUGUGUUUAUCACAACUAGAGGCUGCUUCUUGUGCUAUGGGUAGGGACAGAAAGUUCAGUUCUAACUGAACUCUGGGGCUUCUGAGUUGCAUGUGGAGAUACUAACAGUUAAUAGCACUGGACUUCCAUAUAUUGCCCAUUUUCAGACCUCAGGUGAUGCAGUAAGUCAGCUGCUAGCAGCAUCUGAUGAAAGAUAAUCAGGUUUGCAGGCUAACUGUUAGAUCCUGAAUUAUACAUGCUUAUAUGCAAACACAAGGAACAUGCAGCGCGCCUAGAUGGCUGAGCUACAGCUGAGACAGGAAGGAUUCAUCUUACAGUGGAAUAAAUGGGAAACUUCUAUCUAGGAAAGAUGGAAAUGGACAGAUUGUACAGCAGUUGGACCAGGAGCAAGUUUUGUUUUGAAGCAGAGCUGUAGAGUUCCCCUACUGUAUCAGACCAGGCGUUUUUCCUGUGCUUAAUAGCAGUUACAUAUUUACAAAGAAGUCAUACGACCUUUAUUGUAACACUGGGAGAGUAAGCGUGUAGCAGACCCGCUUCCCUGUGUAAACACAGGAAGAUUUCUGUUUCCUAAGUGACCUAAGAGAGAAGUGGCCUUCAAUGUGCGUCUGAUCGAGGCUGCAUUCGACAGAUCAGACUUUAUCUAUCACUGAAUAUCACUGAAAACAGGAGUGUAAGAAACCAGACAGUGCGGCCCACUGCAAAGCUAUGCACUGCUGUGGAUCACAGCGUACAGCAGAGCCAACCCCAUUAUUCAGAUGCUGUAACGGAGACUAAAAAGGCCAGAGCAAUAAAGUAACACUUGGCAAACGAA